rnacentral:tRNA from 1 species
GGGGCAGUCGUCUAGCUUGGUCUAAAGCCUCCUAGGCUUACCAAAAGGAUCCCAGCCUGGGGCGCUGGAGGUCCGGGGUUCAAAUCCCCGCUGCCCCA